GACGAACGCUGGCGGCGUGCUUAACACAUGCAAGUCGAACGGAAAGGCCUGCUUUCCCUUGUGGAUUGCGGGUGCUCGAGUGGCGAACGGGUGAGUAACACGUGAGUGAUCUGCCCCCAACUUGGGUAUAAGCCCGGGAAACUGGGUCUAAUUCCCGAUAGGACUGCAGGGUGGUGCCUGUGGUGGAAAACGAUUUUCUAGUGGUUGGGGAUGAGCUCGCGGCCUAUCAGCUUGUUGGUGGGGUAAUGGCCUACCAAGGCGGCGACGGGUAGCCGGCCUGAGAGGGUGGACGGCCACAGUGGGACUGAGAUACGGCCCAGACUCCUACGGGAGGCAGCAGUGGGGAAUAUUGCACAAUGGGCGGAAGCCUGAUGCAGCGACGCCGCGUGGGGGAUGACGGCCUUCGGGUUGUAAACUCCUUUCGACCGCGAGGAAGCCACCUGGUUGGAAGGGUGGUGACGGUAGUGGUAGAAGAAGCACCGGCUAACUACGUG
rnacentral:rRNA from 1 species